rnacentral:miRNA from 1 species
GAGGUGGCAUGGCUGGUAGUAUG